UACGGAGGGAGCUAGCGUUGUUCGGAAUUACUGGGCGUAAAGCGCACGUAGGUGGCGACGUAAGUCGGGUGUGAAAGCCCCGGGCUCAACCUGGGAAUUGCAUUCGAGACUGCAUUGCUGGAGUACGGAAGAGGCGAGUGGAAUUCCCGGUGUAGCGGUGAAAUGCGCAGAUAUCGGGAGGAACACCAAUUGCGAAGGCAGCUCGCUGGGACGUUACUGACGCUGAGACGCGAAAGCGUGGGGAGCAAACAGG
rnacentral:rRNA from 1 species